AAGAAGCAAUACCGUGAGGUGGAGCAAAACUCAAAAAAUGAUCUCAGUUCGGACUGUAGGCUGCAACUCGCCUACACGAAGUUGGAAUUGCUAGUAAUCGUGGAUCAGCAUGCCACGGUGAAUACGUUCCCGGGUCUUGUACACACCGCCCGUCACACCAUGGGAGCUGGUAACACCCGAAGUCAGUAGUCUAACCGCAAGGAGGACGCUGCCGAAGGUGGGAUUAGCGACUGGGGUGAAGUCGUAACAAGGUAGC
rnacentral:rRNA from 1 species